rnacentral:tRNA from 1 species
GGGCACAUGGUGUAGUUGGUUAUCACGUCCGCUUUGCAUGAUUGAACCUUCAAGCGGUAUGCGGGUGGUCCUCGGUUCAAUUCCGGGUGUGUCCA